UAAAAGAGUAGGUUGGCUGGUGGAGAAGUGAGAUGGAGCCUGUUGGCUGUGCUGUGAGGAAGAAGGAGUCAGUGCUGCGAGGAGCUGCCCGUGAGAAAUCACCGAGAAGAUUAACUGCUGUGAAUGUUCCAAACUGCAUAUCCAUGUCCUGCUCCAUGUGAGAAGCAGAGAAAUGCCACACAUUUUCAGUUCUCAUCUGAGAGGGGUCCCCGCACACUGGCUCUGGGAAGUAAAGUGCCUUUGGUUAGAGGAACUUGGGUCUGGACUCAAAUGGACACUUUACAGAACAGUGGGGUCCAAAGAGAGUUAGCACUUCAGAGUCAUGUCUUCUCACAGCUGCUAUGCCUCAUGUGAUAACUAGUGUGGGAGAUGGGGAAGGAAGCAAAUAACAAGCGAGGCAGCAAGGUUGUGAAGGAAGUAAUUUUGCCCUUCCUCUUUGCUGCUGCUGUUUUAAGUAUUCUUCCAGGAAAGAAAGGUCCAACAGAGAAGGUAUGUUCUCAAGGCUGGCAGGCCUUGGCUGAAAGGCCUCAUCUGCAAACCUGAAUGACAGCACCUGUAGCUCGUGCAUGUCCAGAGGGUGGUGAUGCUGAGAGAGGGACAACUUUCUGACUUAGCAGAGUACCACAGGCUUGCCGAUAGUGACGGUGAGGGCGAUGGCUGCAGCAGAUGUUGACUGGACAGCAACCAGGAAGGGUGGUGAACAGAGGAGGUUCUGCAAACUCCUGUUUUGAGGGAAGAAACAAAGCAGUAGCUGCCUCUGUGAGCAAGUUUUCAUACUCAGAAUGAUAUUUGGUACAUUAUAUUCAACUGCUUUGGAAAAAAAAAGGAGCAAAAUUAUGGUUAAGAUAGAGUUUGCAGAAGCCAAGUUUUAAAGAGCCUUUAGGUCACCUGAUGAUGUAUUCAGCUAGGAGAUUUAAGAUUCCAAUCUGUCAGGUGUCCCAGCCAGCUUUCUUCACCUUUCUUUGUGCAUUUUUGCCCCUGUUAUUUUAAUAUUGGCAUGACAGAGUUUUAGGGUGUUUGUCCAGGAGCUAAGACAGACAAAGAGUUAUUAUCUGCCAUCGGAGGGGGAACAAAAUACAUGUCAGUGCUGAAUUGGAGUAAACGAUCCUCGUGGAUCCCUUUUAACUCAGGGUAUUCUGUGAUACA